CGCUUCUUCAGUUGUUCGUAUCCUUUUAGAAACCCCAUGACGACCUCUACCACCACCACGGCUCCGUCUCCCAGCCAUUAGCACCAACAACACCAAUACGAGAAAAACGUCAUUUUUCCUAUACAAAAAUUAACCUCGCAUGAACAAAAUCUUGAAAAAAUCUGUAAAAAUUGCGAAAAAAUUUCUAAUAACAUUAGAAUGCAU
rnacentral:lncRNA from 1 species